rnacentral:tRNA from 1 species
CGGGGGAAACCAGGGGUAGAACAGGGCUGCUAACUUUGUUUUGGGUGGUUCGGCCCAUCCUUCCCCCUA